GACGAACGCUGGCGGCGUGCCUAAUACAUGCAAGUAGAACGCUGAAGGAGGAGCUUGCUUCUCUGGAUGAGUUGCGAACGGGUGAGUAACGCGUAGGUAACCUGCCUGGUAGCGGGGGAUAACUAUUGGAAACGAUAGCUAAUACCGCAUAAGAGUAGAUGUUGCAUGACAUUUGCUUAAAAGGUGCAAUUGCAUCACUACCAGAUGGACCUGCGUUGUAUUAGCUAGUUGGUGAGGUAACGGCUCACCAAGGCAACGAUACAUAGCCGACCUGAGAGGGUGAUCGGCCACACUGGGACUGAGACACGGCCCAGACUCCUACGGGAGGCAGCAGUAGGGAAUCUUCGGCAAUGGACGGAAGUCUGACCGAGCAACGCCGCGUGAGUGAAGAAGGUUUUCGGAUCGUAAAGCUCUGUUGUAAGAGAAGAACGAGUGUGAGAGUGGAAAGUUCACACUGUGACGGUAU
rnacentral:rRNA from 1 species